UUCGCAAUGCCCGAAAGGGUGACGAAGCGACGCCGCGUGAGCGAAGAAGGCCUUAGGGUUGUAAAGCUCUGUCGAGGGUUAUGAAAUGUAGACAGGCUAAUACCCUGUUUAUUUGACAAAAGCCCAAGAGGAAGUCACGGCUAACUCUGUGCCAGCAGCCGCGGUAAUACAGAGGUGGCAAGCGUUGUUCGGUAUUAUUGGGCGUAAAGAGCACGUAGGUGGUUUUAUAAGUCAGGUGUGAAAGCCUUCUGUUCAAAGGAAGAACGGCAUCUGAAACUGUAGAUCUUGAGUGUAGGAGGGGAGAGUGGAACUUCUGGGGGAGCGGUGAAAUGCGUAGAUAUCAGAAGGAACGUCGGCGGCGAAAGCGACUCUCUGGCCUAUUACUGACACUGAGGUGCGAAAGUUAGGGGAGCAAACGGGAUUAGAUACCCCGGUAGUCCUAACCGUAAACGAUGGGCACUAAGUAGAGGGGUUUU
rnacentral:rRNA from 1 species